CAUUGAAAAUUUCCGAAAUCAUGAGCACUGCACAAAAAUAUUUGGAGUUUUUUUAUUUUCACUCCUCAAUAUACUUAUUCGUGUACAUCGAAUUAUCAGAAUUCAUGACUGGCUCGAAGACCACAAUAGAUGACCACAAUAAACUUGGAAAAUAGAUAUGUGAAUGUUCAAGAAUUCAUUGAGGGUGUUCUUCCACCGAUUAAACCGAUUCCGUUUCGUAAUGACCCGAAUACUGGUUGGGCAGCGUUUCUCAUUCGUUUUAUUUGAUCUUUGUCUCACUUGCAUUUAUCCCUCGGGCAAAAGAGUGAUUCACGAGUCACUUAAAUGCACCUUGGCGACCUCGGUGGCUAAAUGCAUGAAAUACUUGCUUACGUAUGUAGAUAUAUCUAUGGAUAUACAUAAACCGUACGAGUUCCCUUCGCCCCGUUCACGUUACGAAUACGUAUAAAUUUUGCAGGUGGAUGCUGCAUGUGCUCGCUAUGCUGCUUCACAAAAAUAGAUCAAAGCUCUUGGACCGUCCGACAUUGCCGAGCCGCAAUUUCUAACACCGCGUAAGCGUCUCGCGCAGUCCGAAUUUUACUCUCUUUCUUUCUCUUGGGAUCGACCAAAGGGAAUUAUGGUUUGCGGACACGGAUACGUCCACGGGUAAUCUCCCGUCUCUCCCGUAGCCGCAUCACUUCACCAUCCGUACGCCUCUAACACUCGUGUUAAACUGAGAGUAUUUGUGCCAAACUACAAACUCCAACUUGCAAGCUUUUCCACACUGCUAGGACGUUAACUGGAUGCCGACUGCUGAAUUUAUAGAAACAACAACGGCUGACGUAAUCCACUCGCAUCUGCGGAUCGAAUAACCUAGCUAAAACUUGACUCCGAGUUAUUCAACUGAGAUUUUUCGAAAAUCAACGAUCUAAAAUAAAAAUUGACGUUGAGAUUCGCCCUGAUUAUAUUAGCUCAAGUAAAUAUUUAGUCAUUAUUCAUCUUAGUGUAUAAUGAUCACGUAAAAAAAUGGGUUUGGCAUCGAAUUAAAGUCCAGUGAGUUCUCGAUCCAGUCGCAAUUGUGCCUCCUUCAAUUCUGUGCGUUUACAUAGAAUUCAUAUACCCACGUAUACGCCAGUACCCGAGGAUACCAUCGUGAAGAACAGGCCAGGCAGUACAAUUAAGGCCUUACCAGAUGGUCUGAUGAGGAUGUGAUGAUUUCGGGCGUGACAUUUAGAUUCAGGGCGGCUCUUUUGAAUAAUAUUUUCUAGGCGUGGGAGCUAGUUUAUUGCACUGUAAACAAGAAAAUGAUAAGAUGAUGGCGCUAUAAACGCUACGGAUAGGUACGUCGAUAAAUCAAAAUGCUGUUAAGAGUUUAGAAUCGUGCUUUGUGAAAUGUAGAUUUCUUGAAGAAAUAAAGAAUUUAUGAAAAAUAA